rnacentral:rRNA from 1 species
CAGCAGCCGCGGUAAUACAGAGGGUGCGAGCGUUAAUCGGAUUUACUGGGCGUAAAGCGUGCGUAGGCGGCUUCUUAAGUCGGAUGUGAAAUCCCUGAGCUUAACUUAGGAAUUGCAUUCGAUACUGGGAAGCUAGAGUAUGGGAGAGGAUGGUAGAAUUCCAGGUGUAGCGGUGAAAUGCGUAGAGAUCUGGAGGAAUACCGAUGGCGAAGGCAGCCAUCUGGCCUAAUACUGACACUGAGGUGCGAAAGCGUGGGGAGCAAACAGGAUUAGAGACCCCAGUAGUCCCUGUCUCUUAUAC